rnacentral:rRNA from 1 species
CACGGUCCAGACUCCUACGGGAGGCAGCAGUGGGGAAUAUUGCACAAUGGGCGCAAGCCUGAUGCAGCCAUGCCGCGUGUGUGAAGAAGGCCUUCGGGUUGUAAAGCACUUUCAGUCGUGAGGAAGGCGGGUACGUUAAUAGCGUAUUCGUUUGACGUUAGCGACAGAAGAAGCACCGGCUAACUCCGUGCCAGCAGCCGCGGUAAUACGGAGGGUGCGAGCGUUAAUCGGAAUUACUGGGCGUAAAGCGCAUGCAGGUGGUUUGUUAAGUCAGAU